UUCUAAUAGAAAUUAUUAUUAGUAAAAUCUGCUCAAUGAAAUUUAAUAGCCGCAACUAUAGUUGUGCUAAGGUAGCAUAAUCAUUUGUCUUUUAAUUAAAGACUAGAACGAAAGAUUUAACUUUUAAAUUACUUUAUUUAAAUACCCUUUUAAAUUAUUUUAAAUAUUAAAAAAUAUUUAUUAAUAAAAAAGACGAUAAGACCCUAUUGAACUUAACUUUAGUUUAACUGGGGAAGUUAAUUAAAUAUAAUUUUAAUUUUCUACAAAAUACAAUUGAUCCGAUAAAUUCGAUUAAUUAAUCAAGUUACCAUAGGGAUAACAGCGUAAUAAUACUUCAAAGAUCUUAUUAAAAGUACUGCUUGCGACCUCGAUGUUGAAUAAUACCCUAAUAUAUGAAAAAGAAUAUUAAGGAAGUCUGUUCGACUUUUAAUUAAUUACA
rnacentral:rRNA from 1 species